AUUGAACGCUGGCGGCAGGCCUAAUACAUGCAAGUCGAGCGAGCGGCGGACGGGUGAGUAAUGCCUGGGAAACUGCCUGAUGGAGGGGGAUAACUUAUGGAAACGGUAGCCUAUUACGCAUACAACCGUAUGUGCCCAGAUGGGAUGAGCUAGUAGGUGGGGUAACGGCUCACCUAGGCGACGAUCCCUAGCUGGUCUGAGAGGAUGACCAGCCACACUGGAACUGAGACACGGUCCAGACUCCUACGGGAGGCAGCAGUGGGGAAUAUUGCGCAAUGGGCGCAAGCCUGAUGCAGCCAUGCCGCGUGUGUGAAGAAGGCCUUCGGAGUGUAAAGCACUUUCAGCGGGGAGGCGUUACCCGCAGAAAAAGCACCGGCUAACUCCGUGCCAGCAGCCGCGGUAAUUC
rnacentral:rRNA from 1 species